rnacentral:tRNA from 1 species
GCCUUCGUCGUUUAGUGGUCAGCACGCUAGACGGGAAACCGAGAGGUCCGUGGUUCGAUUCCUCGCGAAGGCG